rfam:Hepacivirus hominis isolate 364797 polyprotein gene, complete cds
AUGGCCCCUCUGGGGAAAUGAGGGCUGCGGGUGGGCAGGGUGGCUCCUGUCCCCUCGUGGCUCCAGACCCAGCUGGGGCCC